UACAGAGACUGCAAGCGUUAUUCGGAUUCACUGGGCGUAAAGGGUGCGCAGGCGGCUGUGUGUGUCCGGUGUGAAAGCCCGGGGCUUAACCCCGGAAUUGCGCCUGAAACUACAUGACUAGAGCAUUGGAGAGGGUAGCGGAAUUCACGGUGUAGCAGUGAAAUGCGUAGAUAUCGUGAGGAACACCAGAGGCGAAGGCGGCUACCUGGACAAUUGCUGACGCUCAGGCACGAAAGCGUGGGGAGCAAAAGGG
rnacentral:rRNA from 1 species